rnacentral:rRNA from 1 species
GACGAACGCUGGCGGCGUGCCUAAUACAUGCAAGUUGAGCGCUGAAGGUUGGUACUUGUACCAACUGGAUGAGCAGCGAACGGGUGAGUAACGCGUGGGGAAUCUGCCUUUGAGCGGGGGACAACAUUUGGAAACGAAUGCUAAUACCGCAUAAAAACUUUAAACACAAGUUUUAAGUUUGAAAGAUGCAAUUGCAUCACUCAAAGAUGAUCCCUCGUUGUAUUAGCUAGUUGGUGAGGUAAAGGCUCACCAAGGCGAUGAUACAUAGCAGACCUGAGAGGGUGAUCGGCCACAUUGAGACUGAGACACGGCACAAUCUCAUACGGGAGGCAGCCGUAGGGCAUCUUCGGCCAUGGACGAAAGUCUGACCGAGCAACGCCGAGUGCGUGUAGAAGGUUUUCGGAUCGUAAAACUCUGUUGGUAGAGAAGAACGUUGGUGAGAGUGGAACGAUCAGCAAGUGACGGUAACUACUCAGAAAGGGACGGCUAACUACGUG